UCAGAGUGAACGCUGGCGGCGUGCUUAACACAUGCAAGUCGAACGGUAACGCAAAGUGCUUGCACUUUGGCGACGAGUGGCGCACGGGUGAGUAAUAUAUAGUUAAUGUACCUUCAAGACUGGGAUAGCCACUGGAAACGGUGAUUAAUACUAGAUACACCUUCAUAUCACAAGGUAUGAAGGGAAAUGUUUUUUCGCUUGAAGAUCAGACUAUAUCCUAUCAGUUAGUUGGUGAGGUAAGAGCUCACCAAGACGAUGACGGGUAGCGGGUUUGAGAGGAUGAUCCGCCACACUGGUACUGAGACACGGACCAGACUCCUACGGGAGGCAGCAGUGAGGAAUAUUGCACAAUGGAGGAAACUCUGAUGCRGCAACGCCGCGUGGAGGAUGACGCAUUUCGGUGUGUAAACUCCUUUUAUAUGUCAAGAAAAUGACGGUAGCAUAUGAAUAAGCACCGGCUAACUCCGUGCCAGCCGCCGCGGUAAUACA
rnacentral:rRNA from 1 species